UACGUAGGGGGGCAAGCGUUGUCCGGAAUCAUUGGGCGUAAAGCGCGUGUAGGCGGCUCGAUAAGUCUGCUGUGAAAGUCCAGGGCUCAACCCCUGGGAUGCCGGUGGAUACUGUCGAGCUCGAGUCCGGAAGAGGCGAGUGGAAUUCCUGGUGUAGCGGUGAAAUGCGCAGAUAUCAGGAGGAACACCAAUGGCGAAGGCAGCUCGCUGGGACGGUACUGACGCUGAGACGCGAAAAGCGUGGGGGAGCAAAACAGG
rnacentral:rRNA from 1 species